AGGUACCCAACCGAAGAAGUCCCGGCAAACUCCGUGCCAGCAGCCGCGGUAAUACGGAGGGGGCAAGCGUUGUUCGGAAUUAUUGGGCGUAAAGGGCAUGUAGGCGGUUUGGUAAGUUAAAGGUGAAAUACCAGGGCUUAACCCUGGGGCUGCUUUUAAUACUGCAGGACUAGAGUCCGGAAGAGGAUAGCGGAAUUCCUAGUGUAGAGGUGAAAUUCGUAGAUAUUAGGAGGAACACCAGUGGCGAAGGCGGCUGUCUGGUCCGGUACUGACGCUGAGGUGCGAAAGCGUGGGAGCAAACAGGAUAGU
rnacentral:rRNA from 1 species